CUUUAGAGAAGCUAAGAUGGCUGAUACAGGAUGUCGUGCUCUGAGAUAGCGGAAAUAGCCAGCAAUGGGGUUUCUUUACAAAGAUGUGAAAAACAGAUCACUAUCAUCCUGCCUGACAGACCACAAGCAGUAAUGUUGGGCAGACACGUCUCACCCUCAGAGCCUUGGUUUAUUUAGCAGUACUCUGCUUUUUUACUGAGGUUAACAGUGAUGUCAACCGCAGCAACCAGGGUUCAAACAAGUUUCCUCCAUAGGUACUGGAGUUUCUGAACAGACAUGUAUCUAGUCGCUUGCUCAAGCACAAGCAAACCAGCC